rnacentral:rRNA from 1 species
AGCAGCCGCGGUAAUUCCAGCUCCAAUAGCGUAUAUUAAAGUUGUUGCAGUUAAAAAGCUCGUAGUUGAAUUUCGGGAUCAAGUCGUCGGUCGUGCCUCGGUACGCACUGGUGACAUUGGUUUCUCCCUUCUGAAGAACCUUGAUGUCAUUAAUUUGGUGUCUUGGGGAAUCAGGACUGUUACUUUGAAAAAAUUAGAGUGUUUAAAGCAAGCCCACGCUUGAAUACAUUAGCAUGGAAUAAUGAAAUAGGACGUUUGAUUCUAUUUUGUUGGUUUCUAGGAUCGACGUAAUGAUUAAUAGGGAUAGUUGGGGGCAUUAGUAUUCAAUUGUCAGAGGUGAAAUUCUUGGAUUUAUUGAAGACUAACUACUGCGAAAGCAUUUGCCAAGGAUGUUUUCAUUAAUCAAGAACGAAAGUUAGGGGAUCGAAGACGAUCAGAUACCGUCGUAGUCUUAACCAUAAACUAUGCCGACUAGGGAUCGGAUGAUGUUAAUUUUUAAUGACUCAUUCGGCGCCUUAAC